CAUCUAACAUUUGAUUUAGAAAUAGUUGUUGGAGUAUUAAAUAUCCAUAGGAUAAUGAAAAUCUUGUUCUCUUCAUGUGUUGUAGGGCUAUUGGUCUCUUGAUUUUUGUUUGAAAAGUUAGGCUACAUUUCAUUACAUAAGGCCUUAAUUGUCCCUUUAAAUACGGUUGAAAUUUUUUAAAGAGCAAGAUUUCGGUUAAGUCACAUUACUUAAAACUCUUUAAUUGAAAGAUUUAAGUGUCCAUCGAUUAAAAGAUUUUGACUCAUUUGUCAAGACCCUAAUAAUAAAGUUGGUCAACAAUGAAAAUAAUGUUUAAAUUGGAUGUUAAAGUUAUUAAACCUAAUCAAUAAUUACGAACAAGAAACUCAUGGUGCAAUGAAUAAAGAGAGAAAAAUGACGAUCAACGUUAGGUUAUGAAUCCAGAAUUUAUGCACAAUUAAUCAAACAUCUUGAGUUUUGUGAGUUUAAUUCUUUUUACUUGUUACAAUGUCAAAAUUAAGUCAAUGCUUCUUGAUGGUAUAUAAGUUAAUAAUUUUUUUUUUUACUGAUAUUACAAUCAACUUAUUGCAAUUAGACUAUUACCGAUAUUAUAAUAUUUCUGAUAUUUACAAUCAGACAAUUAUUAAGACUAAUUUACAAUAAAUCUUACAUUAUUUAUAUUUUUACCCUCAUUAAUAUUCAAAAGACGUUUACUCCACUCACUUUUCAAAAGAGAACAAACUACGUUCACUUAAUUAUGGAAAGAGAAAUGAAGUCCCUAUAUUACAAUAUGAGGACUCGAACCCAUGCUCUCACAUACAAGUUGAUAAAUUGAAUAAAUAUCAAUGGUCUAUUUUUUAUAUGCUCUAAGUCCUUGAUUUAAUGAUUUUCAAACAUGUUUAUUUUUUAUUGGUUUUUAUUGUUAUAUUUUGUCAUGAAAUGUGAUAAAAAUUAAGACAAUAAUGUAAAUAAUCGUAUAAGCAAAUUUUUAAAAACAUUCAAAUAAUACAGAUAUUAAAUAAAUUAUAAUUUAAUAAUUCUUUUUGCAUUUUUCUAUUGUAAUAUGAAAUAUUUUUUUUUUCAAAAUUUUCUUUAAAUAUUGUAGUUAUUAAUUUAUUGUGACAUUUCUUAAUUGUUUACAAUAAGUUAUGACGUCAGGAUUAGCUGACAGUCCACUCGAGCGUUGGAAUUGGUGGUCCCCAUCAACGGUCACAAUGGAGGAUGUGUCCGUGAUUUUAGAAGAUCCGGUUGCAGAGAAUCGAAUCCGAGGAAGCGUGGCCGCGGCAACUGUGAGCUGUGUUUGAUUGUAUCCACUUUUCCACUAAACGAGGUCAGAAGAUAAACAUUCCUUUCCUUUUUUUGGUUUUGCAAAAACAAUUAAUUUACAGCCGUCGGAUUUAGAGCAUUUCUAAACUUACAAUAAAUCUUUUCAGUCUAAAUUAUUUAUUUUAUAAAUGUAUUAUGUAUUUAUCAAUUUUAGUGUGAGUGGAGUUUUGAAUUCAAACGUUUUGUAAAAAUUAAAAGAAAAAAAAAACUUUUUUUUAAAAUCCCAAUAAUUAUCUUCUAUGUUUAAGUUCAUGUUUAUAUAUCUAAUAAGACAUCUUCAUGUAAUGAUAUAAUAAAAAGGCAUUGAUAAUCCCUAGGGUAGGAUCUCUAUGCACAAUGGAUUCCUUUCCCUAUAGAAAUGGUAUCUAAUUGCAAUUUGAAACUUUAGAAUAAUUCAUUAACCUUUUAAUCAUAUAUCAUCAUUAACAAGAAGGUAAGAACAUUGAUUUCAAUGUUUUAUAUAUGAUAAAAAAUUCCAAACUAAGUAUUUGGUUGGAUUAACUUGCCAAAAAAUUUGAGCCACCAAGGUUGAACUCAAUAAUAUGAUAAUUUCAAAAACCCCUUUUAACUUUUGCUCAUGCAAAUUAUCCUGUUGGCUUGUCACAUUUAGGUACAUCACAUGUUAGCUUCCUCUUUCAUUCCUUCCCCUUUAACUUCACACUAAUAAAUUUAUAUAUGUCAUGCAACUGCUCACUUUAUCAAGGGUUCAAGUCUUUCUAGAGUGAAAAAAAAAGUACAUUUUAUUUGUUAUUUUUGUGCUGAACUUUUAAUUAUAAUACAUUAAGAUAGAUUUCGAUCGAUAUUAAAUUAAAUUUCAGAUUUUGAUAGAUAUAUUGAAUUGUAUUUAUAUUAUACCAUCUCAUAUGAUAUUCAUAAAAUAUUAAAAAAAUACAAUAAAUCUAUAAAUCAUUUCUUCUUAUUUUUGUUUUUUUUUAUCAUCUUCUCCAUCAUGAACUAUGUUACAUGAGGGCCAAAUCAGGGGCAAAUUCGUCUACUGGGAAUUUAUUUAUAAACCUCCUGAAACCGAGAGCGGCGGGAGGAAUGUGGCUCGGGGACGCACGUGUGGGCCCAUUUUAUUUGAUUACGCGAUGAUGGUUUUCACAUGUGCGGGCAGCCCAUUUUCUAAUCUCGAUUCUCGAUUGUCCGAAAGUGAUUUUUGUUUGUUGGCGUGAUUGCAGGAUUGAACGAGGAAGAUGGAUAAAAUAUUAUUUAAUACAACCAAAAUAAAUUGUAUAGUUUGUAAUUUUUUUUAUUAAAUAAUUUUAAUGACAAUAAGAUUAUUGGUCCAAUGGUAAAAACAGGGGGGGUUGUUUGUGGGUAACUCGUCAAACCUUGAAAAUAUUUAUUUGAAAAGAUAAAGUUAAAUGUGAAAAAUUAAAAUAUGGCUUCGUAUAUAUCAGCUACAGAAAAUAUACACUUUAGGCGUUAAUAGAUUGACUAAGAUCCUGAUAUAAAAUGAUGCAUCCAGAAGCAGCCAAAAACGGCAAAUGAUUACCUUACCAUUUGUACUAUCUUGCUCAUUGUUGUUCUUCUUCUUCUUAGUUCAUGUUGUUAGUUGAGUCAAAGUUAAUAAUUUUAAAUUUGGAUAAAACUUGCCAAUUACUCCUUGGUUGUGUUGGUCAGCGCUCCUUUUCUUAAUUUUGUGACGAUAAAAGUUUUUAUUUUGCUCCCACGCACCAGUAAUAUUCCCAUAUUCUGUUUGUUCCUCGAACUAUAAUUUUAGUGUUUUUUUUUUUGAAUAACCUAUUAAUUUCCUAUUGGGGCGGAUCAUUUUGGGACAAGUGGAUCAUUUAUUAUGAAAAUGAUGAAUUAAAAAAAAAAAAAAGAUACAUGAGAUUUAACCUUGAUCUGACCUAAUAAAAUCUUUUUUUUUUUUCUAAGAUAAAGAAAUAACAAAGCCAUUUCCAUUACCAGAAAUACUAAGCUCACUAAUGAGUAAUUACACAAAAUUAGAGAGAAAGCAGUGGAAUGACUUUUACUAGUAAAAAAAAUUCUAAAAAUUUAGGAUUCAAAAUUAAUGACCAUUAUUCCAGGACUUUAGCCAACUAAAUGGGCGGUCAAUAUGCUUAAUCAAACUUUGUGGAAUUAGGGGAGUUCCCACUUCCCAGAUUGAAUUUUGCUUAUCGAUUUGACACAAAUUUACAUCUACUAUACCAUUUUGAGGAUUAUUAAAAUUUUCAAUUUAACUCAACAACUAUUGAAUUUUCUGAAUCAAAUAACUAUUACGCCGUGAACGAUUGGGCAGGUGAUUAAAACGUUUUUAAAAAUUAUUUCAUGUACCAAGCAUACCGUCUUUUUUCUUUUUUUCGCAAUAAAUGUGCUGACUAAUUCUUAUGGGAUACAUAAUAUAAAUAUGAGAAGAGCUUCAUUCCAAUUUUAUUAUCUUAACAACUUUAUAAAUUAUAUAGCGUGUAGAAAAACUUACACAUGCCUACUGCUUAUGCUUCGUUUAAUAAAAUAUCCUUCAAUUUUUGCCCACGACGAACUUGUCGAUGCCAUUUUGUUUUUAAGCUAACGGUUUGUUUUUCUUUAAAAAAUUGUGUUAAUCCUUUAAAAAACAUACCCACAAAGUUUUAAUUACUAGAACAGUCUCAUGCUUUUACAUCAUUUAAAUGAUGUGAUAAGCUUAGUUAAUGAAAUGACAUUGAAGAAGCUCAAGAGUCCUAUGAAAUAUGAUCAAUAGAUGACAUGGGCCGGCAUCGUCUUUGUGAUUUUUGAUUGUCUAGUGCCAACCACAACAAAGGAACGCAUUAUUAUUAAUUUAUUUUAGUUUGUGUUUGGUUUGGAUAUCUACAAAAUUCCACCAAGAAAUGGUCUAAGAAUGAAUCAAAGAUCAGUUGAAAUUUUAAUUUUAAUUAGUUGAGUAGAUUAUUGCGAAAAGAAGAAAACGACUGUUCUAUAAAACUCAAUUUUUGAAAAAAAUUAAAUUUAUUGGUACUCCAUGAUGAAUACAAAGAACUUUUCAUAAGCUCAACAAUUCGGAUUGAGACAUGUUAAUAGUUUUCUUCUAAUCAAUCACAAAGGUCUCAGCCAACUCUUUAACCAUUCUAUAACAUUUGUCAUAAUGGGUUAAUUUUCUUUGGAUUAAUCACUUGACGAUCACACUUCAUACUUUGUCAAAAGGCCAAAACAUGUAUAUGUAAGAACUAGUCAACAAAUGAUAUUAUUUGGAUUAGUUCAAAUUUCUUUUUCGAUUAAUUCGUUUUUGGCUAAUCCGUUUGUGCCAAAUGAGUUUUCUUUUUUUUUAAUCUUAUAAAAUGAUUGGGGUUCGGCUGUGCACAUUGGUACAAAUUUCAUGUUCUUAGUUUAAUUCAUAUUAUAAGUUUAAUGUAUACAAAAAAGUUUGAAAUAUUUUAGAUUUUAAAUUAACAAGUUGGGAUACAAAAUCAUAUACUAGGUUAUAAG
rnacentral:lncRNA from 1 species